rnacentral:lncRNA from 1 species
AUGUGAUACUCCUCCCUAAUUGAGUUUGAGCGGCAUCUCAAACACGCUUCAUCACCGGUAUCAUUCCAAAACCCUAAUUAUCGUAUAGGUGAUUCUCCGGCGAUCUCAAACACAAAAACUCUCAUCCACGAUAUUUAUCAUCUUCAACCCUUGCUAUUUAUCAUCUUUAUCAUCUUAAAAAACAUGAGAAGCCUUCCGCCCUUUCUCUCACACACUGUUCAAUCAAAACCCUCUUUCUCUUCUCUCACACCCACUUCAGAAAGAAACCCUAGCUUCCUGUAGCUUUUGCGCCUUCAACCUCAAAAACCCUAGAUCGCAAUUACAGACAACUAAUCAUCAGUUGACUGUGUCUAUGAUCUACACAAUCUUGAUGAAUUUUGGUAACGAUUAGGGCUCAAAAGUUCCACAUUUGAAGUUAAAAGGAGAACCGUGACACACGAAUUAAUAAUCGAAAACCAAUGGAUCUCCAGAUGAUGUGGCUGUGAAGAAGUCUGGGAGUAUUUCUUCAUUCGACUCUCAUAUGGAAUAUCGGUUUCUUUCCACUUCACAAUGUACAUAAACUCCACCUCAACUUCUUUGUUGGAUAAUCUUGACGGGUAUAGGUACGGAUAGGAUCUGAACUGGUCACAGGUCUUCAAUCAAGACCAAAUUAUCAUUCUUUAGGCGGGUCAGAUCGGUAGUAGUGGCGGUGUUCUAUAAGUGACUAAUGGCUCUAAGGACUAUGGUUUGUUUUCCGGUCAUCUCCCCAUUUCCAGCGAGAAAAAGGUAUAUGUGCACUCUAGGAAAGGAAACUUAAGGAACUGAAUCCAGUCAUGAGAAAUAUUACUGAGGUGUCAUGUUGUGCUGCAAGCUUUUUUGUGAUUUGGGCAGGAAAAUGGAUGAGUAAAUACGGAUCCCGCGUGCAGCUCCAAGCCCGUUUUUUUUUACCCGGCUAUAUAAACCAUGUAAUAACCCUAUUCUCCUAAAUCGCCUCAUUCAACAACACUAUUCGGAGAAACACCAUCGCAAACACAAUCGCAUUUGUUGAUUCUUCUUCUUCUUCUAUACACCAUCACAUCUGUUGAUUAUUGAUAUGUGAACUACGAAGGGGUAUUCCGGAACGUAAAGGGGAUGAAGCAUUGUUGAAUCAAAAUUAAUUCUUGAUUUCCUUGAAAUCGGAUUGAUUUUUUUUUCUAAACCCUAGAUAUUGCCCUCAUCUUCCUUAUGGUUUAAGCAUCUGCAAUCUACACGAUUCAAGAUGGCAGUGACAGUUCAGAUGAGGUAAGCGAUUUGUUUCAAGAUUAAAUAUAAAGCACAAUUCAGAUGAGGUAAGAUCGAAUUGAAAUGGCUGUAAAUGGUGGAGGCUUUCAAGUGGCACUAGUAAAGGGGCUGAAGCGUCGGUUUCGUUUACACAAGCUAUCUUGACCAAACAUUUGCAAAUGGGAACUCGAUGCAAAAUUACAAUUUGGGUUAAUUAAAUGGGUCAAUGCACGCUUUUGGUGCAUUGGGAUCAACCGCUUCAGGAAUUCAAACACUAUCUGGCCCAUAAUUUUCUGUGGGGUCAUGAGCUUGCUGAUGUUAGAGGUGAUGUCAUUUUUUAAUUGAAACGCUUGAUUUGAAAGAAGAGACGAAAGCCUGCUGUGAAAUUUGUCCUCAAGUUUCUAAAUAUGUUUCAUAAUUGUCUUAGUGAGGGUUGAGAGUGGCAGAUGGGUGUUUGUUGAUGGUUCUGCACAUGCAAUUUAUGAGACUGGUACGCAAGACUAGAUACCACACAAGGGCCCACAUCAUUUGAGCUACUCUAGGCGUGUGAGUACUUCACAAAUUCUUAUUACAUCAUAUAUACUCUUUAACUAAGCAAGAUAAUUUUGGUGUGGUUGUGGUGAUCACUAAUCAAGUGGUGUCUCAGGAUAACAGAGUUUUGAAGCUAAAAUGUGUUAGGCGUGACUCUUAUUCUCACUUUUCUUUACAUAUGAUAGUAGGUUCUUUUCAAGUAAAGAAAUUGGGGGUACAUAACUUCUUCUUUUUCUAAAGGUGGAUUAAGGCCUCUAAUUUUUACCAUCCAUUGUAAAAUUUCAGCUUGUGGUAAUGGCCCCUAUUUUUUAUUUAUUUGUUUUUACUAUUGCCUUAGAGUUGUUCUCAAGCUGAUGGGAUGAUGGGUUUAGUUGCCUAAUAAAUUAAUCAAGACAUCGAGUAUACAAUGACUAAAAGUUUGUGUUAUCGAAGUUAAGUAGCAACUAUGUAUUAUUUGUAACGUGUUUUAUGGGGGUAGCCAUAUUAGGUAUACAAGAGAGUUAUUACUAUCUAAGGGGUUUUAUUUCAAAUGACACUGAACCAAAUGCAUAGAUGCAAAUAGCUUUUUGUUUGUGCGGAUAAAGAUAUCCAGUUGACCCCAAACAUCUUUCUUUUCUGACUUGGUAUACUCUUGGAUCUCAUAGAAUCCCAGACAUUUGAUUUCAUUUAAGAAUUAAGAUGAAAAAAUAGAAAAGGAAAAUUUAAAACUGGAUGUAUGGCCACAAGAAUUAUUUAUACCGAAUAUGAUAAUACUAUUUUUAAAAUACAUAUGUUAAAAUGUUUUUUACUCUAUAAAAUACAAUCUUUGCAAAUCUAGGACCAAUGUUUCCUUUGAGCACUUUUUCCAUGAUCGGAAAUUAAAACUUGACCCGAUCUAGGCCAUGGUUUAAAAAAAAGGCCGAGGCGUCGGUACUGAGGCACGCCUCAAGGCGGAACGGAGGAAAUCGUAUACGAAGCGGCGCCUCAGAUAUAGAUAUUAUACGUACGCCUCAGUGGUAUAGAUAUUACACUCCUAUUUAAAUUCAUUUUUAGUAAUUCUUCACAGGUUUUAGUUUCAUAUUUUAGUUUCAUGUCUUCAUGCUUGGGAACCUAACUUCUCAGUUUAGGAGAGCUUAUUAUAGGGAAAAAGACUGCCUUUUAUGAGUUCAAUCUACACAUCUUCUAAGCACAUCGUUAUUGCUAUAUCUCAAGGUUAUCAUGAAUAAAGAUGGCACAUUGCGGGCAACUUCUGGUGUUGAGGAUUUGGCAUUGCUGAAGACAACAUAAGUUUUUGGAGAGGGAAGUGAUCAUUCUGUUCGGUUAUGGGUUUGUACCGGUUAGGGUCCUGUAUUGCCUGUUUGGGACCUGUUUCAACCCUUAGACGUGAAGCCUAAGUUUGGAAAGGCCUAGAACAAAAGUGAUGAUCUACAUGGGCUUCAAUGCCAGAACAUAUUAUAUGUUUGU